CGGCGGACGGGUGAGUAACACGUGGGUAACCUACCUAUAAGACUGGGACAACUUCGGGAAACCGGAGCUAAUACCGGAUAAGAUAUCGAACCGCAUGGUUCGAUAGUGAAAGAUGGUUUUGCUAUCACUUAUAGAUGGACCCGCGCCGUAUUAGCUAGUUGGUGAGGUAACGGCUCACCAAGGCAACGAUACGUAGCCGACCUGAGAGGGUGAUCGGCCACACUGGAACUGAGCACGGUCCAGACUCCUACGGGAGGCAGCAGAU
rnacentral:rRNA from 1 species